rfam:Puccinia sorghi strain RO10H11247 Scaffold_806, whole genome shotgun sequence.
GUGGGCGUCUUCUAAUGGUUAGGAAAUCUCGUUGUGGUUUCGGAUUCAUUGUAUCAGCGUAUCCAACAAUUCCGUGAAAAUGUCGGUUCGAUUCCGGCCGCCCACA